UGACCUCUGACCUCAAAUCAGGUAGGACUACCCG
rnacentral:rRNA from 1 species